AAGCAUAUCCCACAAUCCACUGCAACAUGAGGUCACACAGGUGGGACGCCGCCUAUGUGACCUCUGCUGUAG